CAUGUUCUGAAAAGAGAGGGGCCUCCUA
rnacentral:piRNA from 1 species